AUUGAACGCUGGCGGCAGGCCUAACACAUGCAAGUCGAGCGGAUGAAGGGAGCUUGCUCCUGGAUUCAGCGGCGGACGGGUGAGUAAUGCCUUGGAAUCUGCCUGGUAGUGGGGGAUAACGUCCGGAAACGGGCGCUAAUACCGCAUACGUCCUGAGGGAGAAAGUGGGGGAUCUUCGGACCUCACGCUCUCAGAUGAGCCUAGGUCGGAUUAGCUAGUUGGUGGGGUAAAGGCCUACCAAGGCGACGAUCCGUAACUGGUCUGAGAGGAUGAUCAGUCACACUGGAACUGAGACACGGUCCAGACUCCUACGGGAGGCAGCAGUGGGGAAUAUUGGACAAUGGGCGAAAGCCUGAUCCAGCCAUGCCGCGUGUGUGAAGAAGGUCUUCGGAUUGUAAAGCACUUUAAGUUGGGAGGAAGGGCAGUAAGUUAAUACCUUGCUGUUUUGACGUUACCAACAGAAUAAGCACCGGCUAACUUCGUG
rnacentral:rRNA from 1 species